rnacentral:lncRNA from 1 species
CCUCUUGCACUGCCUAUGUUGGGAGGGGCAUGGCAAUGGGAAAGGUGAGGGAAUGGGGGUCAGAGUGCAAGGGCGAGGUGAGCCCAGCGGAUGACUAGCGUUACUAUGGCAACCCUACUGACAAUGCUAUGAGAGGCUCCCCGCCUCACGCUGGUCUGCGGAAAAUCAAGCUUUGGAAAUGAGCCUUGAAGGAGGAAUGCUGGGAAGAUGAGAUGUCACAGACAGUGGAUCUGGUCAAGUUGUUUCCUCGCAGGCCGGCUUUGAAGACCCGGCAGACCACUGUUCUGGCCAGGGAGGAGAAAGGCAGUGAGCUCAUGACACCACGCCUUAAGGCCCAUGGGAUCAUUCUGUGCCCCAGGGAGGCUGUCCCAGCCUCACUAGAUUGUAACCCCAUCCCUGCUCGCUCUGCGGGACCCAAAAUCCCAUGGGAAGAGGAGUCUGGAAUGCCCUGAAGCUCCACCUCCACCGGGCACCGAAGAAGGUUCAAGGAGGUCCAGAGUACAGGACUCCCAGGGGACUGGCACUGGGUAGUAAGGCAGCCCACUCUUUCAUGCAUCCCCCUAUAUGCCCCCCACCCAGCUUCGGAUGCUGCAGUCCCCGCAGCCCCCGCCACCGCAGCAGGCGCUGCCAUUUUUGAGGAAGCCACAAACUGACUUCCAGGAGCCCAACUAGAUUCGGUUUAGAAAAUGCGCAUGUGCGAGGCACGAGGCGAUUCUCGCGUCACAGUGACCCCCAUCAUCGCCCAGGGGAUGGAUGGGUCCCUGAUGCUUGGAGAAGCAGGAGCCCUCCGUGGCAGUGCCUAGGCGUUAAGGCUCCAGCCUAACCUCUCCCGGGGGUCGACAGGAUGGUUUUUGGACGCCGGGAGUCGCGGAGGGCCGACCGGGAUGAAGAAACCUCAGGAGCGGAGCGCAAGUCGGCCUAGCCAAUGCGCAUGCGCGGUGCACGAGCUGAUUUCUCAAGGCACAGUGACUCCCACCGUCGCUCGAGUGAUGGGUCCAUGAGGCUGGGCGAAGCAGGAGCCCACUGUGGCAGUGCGUCGGUAUCGAGGCUCCAGCCUGACCUCUCCCAGGGGUCAACAGGAUGGUCUCCGGACGCCAGGAGUCGCGGAGGGCCGACCAGGUUUGUGAAGGCCGGUUCGACCUGGGGAGCUGCGUUGGUCCCACAGGGAUUGAAACCUCCCCAUCCUGAGCGUCCUACUUUCGAGGAUCAAGACAACCACACCACACCCAAGGACCAAAGCCUCCCAGGAGCUUAUUGUCCUGCAGGAGUGCGUGCAGACCAACAUCAAAGAAGAUGGUUCUAACUCCUCCCACCUCCCACCUUCUCCUCUCAUUAAGAAAUGUAGCCCCACCGCGACAGUCUUGGAGAAGAAGCCGGGAACGGGACGCGGCAAGGAUCUCUGUGACUUAAAUCUGGCCUUUCUGGCCCAGUCUCCCAUUUGGCACUUCUUCCUGGAUGCGCAUGGUAGUGGCAUUGUGCUGUAUCCUGCCUGGGCUGUGGCCUCUGCUCUGUACUCCCUCUUGCUCUAUCUGCCAUAGGAGCCUAGAGGCUUGGUCUGGCUUAAAGUCUUCAACAAAGAACACUUUGGAGUCCGUGAGGGAGAAAUUUCGUGGAGAUCCGUUUCACAGUUGUUUCCCUCUCCAAACCUAUUUCUGGUCGAUUAGGCAGGUGCCAUGAUCCUCUGGGCUUCCAUACCUGUCUUGGACAGGGAAGCUCCCUUGGUCUCCAUGUCCCACCUGAUGGCUGCGUGGUUUGUUUCAGUCUAGGAUGAGCGAGUCUCGCUGUGUCACCCAGGCCGGAGUGCAGUGGUGCGAUGCACCAUCUCGGCUCUCGGCACGCUGCAACCUUCGCAACCUCUGCCUCCCGGGUUCAGUCGAUUCUCUUGACUCAGCCUCCUGCGAUUGGACUACAGGCAUGCA